rnacentral:ribozyme from 1 species
ACACACAGAGACAUACGAAGUAAAGCAAGAGAGAAAGACAGAAGGAAAAAAAAGCACGGGGGUGGGCUCAUCAUUUUCAAAUUCUUUCUUUUUU